CAUAAAAAAAUGCCAAAAGGCUACUACUGGCUUCAUAAGGCUAAAGGCGCCAAGAAGUUAGCGGAGACCCCACCCACCCAGUCGGCUAGCUAGCAACACAGGAUGUUUAAACGCAUUGGACGCAGAACGACAUCUUUCUAAAACGACGUUGAGCCUCGGGUGAAUGACACUGCCAAAAAGAACCAACAAAGCAGAGCAGAGAAAUAUCUCUUUCACUUUCUACUUCUUCCCUGAGGGUGCAACAGCAGCAGAGGCAAGACAGCUGGUGAGCUGACCACUGAGGAGGCCUGGAGUCGGGCUGGUCGACUGUAGGAUGAGAGAGGACCGCGUGCUGACAAUCACGGGCCAGCAGGGUACAAGGAUGUUCCCGGUUGACUCUCAUCAGGCAGAAUGAAAACGACUACAUCGACCAUGAUGCUUUGCUAGUUAUGACCACUUUCCCCAUGAUCCGUAGAAAUGUUUUGGUGCCAUUCAGGCCAUCUAGGUAAUAUGAACUGGAGGCUGCGUCCAGGAUGUUGUUUUUUAUUUUUUUAAUUUUUUUAUUAACAACAAAUCAAUACAGAAAGUACAUGAGGGAACACAAGUAUAUAUAGAUUAUAUACAAUGGACA